UUGAAUCUUCUGACUCGAGCCCCACUCCAGGGAUUUGUACCUCAGAAACAGUUUCAAGAUCUUCAAGGAAGAUCUCUUUAGUCAUUUCUGUCUGCUCCUGCCUUUCAUCAGUAUUGACCACUGUGGUAGCAUGUUGUCCGAUUGUUGUUUCUUUUAUAUCCUCACUGGAUGCAUUUUGUGAGCUUGUAACAUCAUCUUCACCAUCUUGGACUUCUUCUGACAUUUUGAGGUCUUUUUCUUUUGCUUGAUUUUCCUCUUUGCUCACUGUUUCAUCCUCAUUCAAUUCAGAUUCAACCUUCUCUAAUCCUGUCACUUCAUGGACUUCCUUAACCAGGGAGCUUUCAGACUUUUCUGUUUGACCAUCAUCAUUGACUACAUCCUCCUUUUUUUCUAUGGUUUCGACACUAGAUUUGAUUUCUUCAGUGUCUUCCUCUAUACUUUCUCUAGUUUCAAAAAACUCAGGUUCUUUACCUUCUUCUUGGUAGUUCUUUUUUUGCAAGUCUUCUUCUAAUGCUGCAACCUGUGAGGUUGUUACAUUGUCCUCACCUUGACCUUCUGCCGACAUGUUGACCUGAUCCUUUUCUUGAUCUUCAUCUUUAAAAGUUUCUAUUGCUUUUAUCCCUUCUUCAGAUUCAACCUUUUCCGAACUAGUCUCAUCACAUACCUCUUUGACAGAGUGGAUAGGAGGCGUUUCCAUUUGAUCAUCAUCAUGCUCAAUAGGCUCUUUGUUUUUUUCUUCAGUUUCUGUUUUCUCUUCUUGAGAUUCCACUUGUGCUGAUGUGAAAACAUCAGUUGUGAUGGCAUGUGGCAACUCUCCUUGCUCCACUUUUUCUUUUGUUUUAACAUUUGUGCUUAUAAGUUCAUUAUCUUCCUCCAUGCUUUCUCUAGUUUCAAAAAAUACAUCCUCAGAGGCUGCAACUGUAUCCUGUGAGCAUAUAACUUCAUCCUCACUUUGGUCUUUUUCUGGUAUGUUGAGCUCUUGUUCCUUUUCUUGAUAUUCAUCUUUGCUUAAAAUUUCUAUUUCUUUCUCAUUCUGAUACAUAUCGGAAUUUAUCCCUUCUUCAGAUACAGUCUUCUUUAAGUCAGUCUCUUCACAUACUUCCUGUUGCUCCUUUUCAUCUGUUUCAACACUUGGUUUGAUUUCUUCAGUAUACAUCUCUUGCUCAAAAAUUAUGCUGGCACUUUCUUCUAUUUUAUCUUUUGCUCCAUUAUCAUCAUACUGCUCGCUUGCCUAUAUGAAGAGUGUAUUUUGAGUACAUGGGCAGAAUGGACAAUACAGAACUUGGUAAGUCUAAUGUAUAGUCAAAGUUUGUAAAACAAUCUGUGUAACAGCUUAGUUUAUUGGUCUCUUUUUCAAAAGAAAAUUAUGAGCAGCAUUUGCUCUAAAGUCUAAACUACUUUAUAAAACGGGUUUCCCUUAGAAUUUAUCAUUUUCAUAAAUAUCCACAACUUGCUUUUCUUCUAGUUCUAUACCCCUCCCCAAUUGUACUGUUCAAUUGAAUAAAUCAAGUUCUGUAUUUGAAGUUACACUUAAUAUGCUCUAUAAAAUAUGUAUUUUAUCUUGUUUAGGGCCCUUAAAAUGGUCUAAUAUAUAUAUAUNNNNNNNNNNNNNNNNNNNUAUAUAUAUAUAUAUAUAUAUAUAUAUUUGUAAGAGAUACUUGAACUACCGAGUUGAACAACUUAUGCAUUUGUUACUUUCUCAAACACAUGAGAUGAGAAAUUUUGUAGCAGACAACAUAAUGUCUUGAUAAUUUUAGCAUUGCAAGUUUAGUUGGAAUGAUGUACAAGUAAAACCUUUUGAAAUAAUUAGAGAUUACUUAAGAUGAACAUAAAUUACCUCUUGAGCAUGAAUUGAUUUGUCUUCUAUUUCUUCCUUGAGGAUCUCUUUGGUCAAUGCACUAUCAUCUUUGCUCUCCUCAAAAUCAACCACUGUGGUAACAUGUUGACCAAUUGUUGACUCUUGUAUAUCCUCACACGUUGCAUCUUCUGAACUUGUAACGGCAUCCCCACCACCUUGGACUUCUUCUGGCAUUUUGAGUUCAUGUUCCUUUUCUUGAUUUUCCUCUUUGCUCACUAUCUCAUUCUCAUUCAAUUCAGGUUUAGCCUUCUCUGAUCCUGUCACUUCACACACCUCCUUAACCAAUGGGCUUUCAAACUCAUCAUUGACUAUAGCAUCUUCCUCAAUCUUUUCUUCAUUUUCCAUAGUUUCUUUUUUAGGUUCUAUUUCUGUUGAGCUGCAAACAUCAGUAGUAAUGACAUGCAGCAACCCUUGUUGCUCCAUAUUUUCUUUUGUUUCUAUACUAGAUUCGAUUUCUUCAAUGUUUUCCUCUACACUUUCUCUCGUUUCAACAACUUCAGGUUCUUUACCUUCUUCUUGGUAGUUCUUUUCUUGCAAGUCUUCUUCUAAGGCUGCAACCUGUGAGCUUGUUACAUUAUCCUCGCCUUGACCUUCUGUUGACAUGUCAACCUGAUCCUUUUCUUGUUCUUCAUCCUUGAAAGUUUCAAUAGCUUUUACCUCUUGUUCAGAUUCAACCUUUUUUGAGCUAGUCUCAUCGCAUACCUCCUUGGUAGUCUCUUCAUAAACCUCCUUCAUAGACUCUUCAUUCUUUUGUUCAGUUUCCGUGGUCUCUUCUUGAGAUUCUGUUUGUGCUGAUAUGCAAGCUACCUCUUGAGCAUCACUUGGUUUUUCCUCUGUUUCUUCCAUAAGGAUCUCUUUAGGCAUUAAACCUAUCGCUUGUCCCUCCUCUAAAUAGGCCACUGUAGUGUCCUGUUGACCAACUGUUGUUUCUUUUAUAUCCUCACACGUUGCAUCUUUUGAACUUGUAGUUGUAACAUCAUCCCCUAAACCUUUUCCUGACACAUAAACCUCUUGUUCCUUUUCUUCAUCUUCAACUUUGUUCACUAUUUCUUUCUCAUUUGUUGUUUCUUUUACCUCUUCGCUAUAUUCAACUUUCUCUGAACUGGUCUCUUCACAUACUUCAUUGACUGGGGAGCUGUCAACAUUUUCCUUUUGACCAUUAUCACUCUGAAUAGGCUCGUCACUUUUUACUUCAUGUUCUUCACUUUCUACCUGAGAUUUUGUUUGUGAUGUGAUGCAAUCAUCAUGCAACAGUUCUUGCUGCUUGGUUUCAACACUUGGUUUGAUUUCUUUAGUAUCUUCCUCUUGCUCAAUCUCUGAACAAGAUUGAACAGUUUUGUUGUCGCUUUCAUCAGGCUUUUGUUCUGUUUUGUCCUAUUAGAGAAAAAGUAUUCAGUUAGAUAUGAUGAUUUAUAUAAAUAGGCUCAAAGUUUUUAAAAACAAUCUCUGUGGUAGGUUUUUUUCAUUGUUCUUUUUUAAGAUAAUUGUGAGUGACAGUUGUUCUUUAUAACAUUAACAUGAUUCUACAUUGCUUAGUAAUAAAACAUUAAAAGUUUUAGUAGGAAAGAUAUACAAGUAAAACCUUUUGGAUUGUUCAGAGUUAACAUGGGAUGAACACGAAUUACCUCUUGAGCAUCAAUUGCACUCUGAUUCGGCUCCUCGAACUCGAUAUCAGCCACUGGGGUAGCCUUUUGACCAAUUAUUGUUUCUUUUAUAUCCUCGCUGGAUGCAUUCUGUGAGCUUGUAACAUCAUCUCCACCACCUUGGACUUCUUUUGACAUUUUAAUCUCUUGUUCCUUUUCUUGAUUUUCCUCAUUGUUCACUAUUUCAUUCUCAUUCAAUUCAGAUUCAGCCUUCUCUGAGCUUGUUGCUUCACAUACUUCCUUCACCAAGGGGCUUUCAGACUUAUCUGUUUGACCAUCAUCAUUCACCAAUGCCUCUUCAUCAAUCUUUAUAUCAUCUUUUGUUUCGGCACUAGAUUUGAUUUCUUCAGUAUCUUCCUCUAAAUACUCUCUAGGUUUGACAAAUUCGGGUUCCUUACCUUCAUCAUCAUAUUUUGUUUCUGGUAAGUCCUGUAUAGAAGUUGCAUCUUGUGAGAAAGUGACAUCAUCUUUUCCUUGGUCUUCUUCUGAAAUGAUGGACUCUUGUUCUUGUUCUUGUUCUUUUUCUUUUUCUUGAUGUUCAUCUUUGUCAGAAGGUUCUACCCCUUCAAAUUUACCCUUCUCUAAGUGAGUUUCUUCACAUACUUCAGUCACAUCUUCAUCGUCUGUAAUCUUUACCUGCUCCUUUUCAUCUGUUUCCACACUUGGCUUGAUUUCUUCAGCAUUUUCAUUUUUGUUGACACUUUCCUCGGGCUUUUGUUCUAUUUUUUCAUUUGCUCCACUCUCAUCCUGCUCACUUGCCUAUAUGAACACAAGUAUUUUGAGUACAUGUGGAGAAUAAAAGUAACACAUCAUGAUAAGUCUAAUGCAUAGUCAAACUUUUAAAACAAUCUUUGUGGCAGCUUCAAAAAAAUUUGUGAGCCAAAUUUGCUAUAAACUACUUUAUAGAAUGGUUUUCUCUAAACAUUUAUCGUUUUAUGAACUCUAACUCUUCUCAACAAAUGAAACUAAACGUUUGGAUGAGACAAGCAUUUGACAUUAAAAUUAUGUAUGAAAAUCAUAAUAUUGUCUUAUACUUUUAUAAAUUAAACAUAAAACUAGUAAGAAUUAGCCUUAACAUUUAACAAUACAUUAGUAUAAUAUGUGAUUUUUAGUUUCUCUUACACAUGAGAUAAGAAAAUAUGUAGCAGACAACAACAUUUCCAUAUGUCAUAAUGAUUAUAGCAUUUCAAAUUCUAGUAAGACUGAUCUACAAUUAAAACUGUAAAACCUUUUAGGAAUAGUUAGGUUUACUUAGAAUGAACAUGAAUUACCUCUUGCACAUCAGUUGAUUUGUCCUCUGCUUCUUCCUUAAGGAUCUCCUUAGGCGUUGAGUUUAGAGCCUGUUCCUCCUCUAAAUAGGCCACUGUAGUAACAUGCUCACCAGUUGUUGUUUCUUUUAUAUCCUCAAAUGUUGCAUCUUGUGAACUUGUAACAUCAUCCCCUAAACCUUUUCCUGACACAUAAACCUCUUGUUCCUUUUCUUCAUCUUCAACUUUGCUUGCUAUUUCGUUUUCAUUCAGAUCGAUAUUAACACUGUCAGAAAGUUUUAACCCUUCUUCAGAUUCAACCUUCUCUGAGACAGUCUCUUCACAUACUUCCUUCACCAUGGUCUCUGUAUUAGAACUAUCAGAGUAGUUCACCUCUUCUUUAUAUUCAAUUUUCUCUGAACUAGCCUCUUCACAUACUUCAACACUUGGUUUGGUUUCUUCAGUAUCUUUCUCUUGCUCAAUUUCUGAACCAGACUGUACAAUUUUGUUGUCACUUUCUGCAGACUUUUGUUCUUUUUUGUCCUAUUAGAGAAGAAAUAUUCAGUAUAUUAUACGACUGAAAGAAAAGAAAUGAUGAUUUAUAUAAACAGGCUUAAAGUUUUUAAAAACAAUCUUAAGGGUAGGUUUUUUUCAUUGUUAUUCUAUAAAAUAAAUGUGAGCGACAGUUGUACUUUAUAACAUGAAUCUACAUUGGUUAGUGAUAAAAAAAAGCAUUUCAAGUUUUAGUUGGAAUGAUGUACAAGUAAAACCUUUUGGAUUGUUUAGGAGUUAACAUGGUAUGAACAUGAUUUACCUCUUGAACAUCAAUCACACUCUGAUUCUGCUCCUCGAACUCGAUAUUAGCCACUGGGGUAGCCUGUUGACCAAUUGUUGUUUCUUUUAUAUCCUCACUGGAUGCAUUCUGUGAUCUUGUAACAUCAUCUCCACCACCUUGGACUUCUUCUGACAUUUUAAGCUCUUGUUCCUUUUCUUGAUUUUCCUCUUUGCUCACUAUUUCGUUCUCAUUCAAUUCAGAUUCAGCCUUCUCUGAGGUUGUCGCAUCAUAUACUUCCUUCACCAAGGGGCUUUCAGACUUCUUUGUUUGAUCAUCAUCAUUCACUAAUGCCUCUUCAUCAAUCUUUAUAUCAUCUUUUGUAUCAGCACUAGAUUUGAUUUCUUGAGUAUCUUCGUCUAUAUUCUCUCUAG
rnacentral:lncRNA from 1 species